UACGUAGGCAGCAAGCGUUGUUCGGAGUUACUGGGCGUAAAGGGUGCGUAGGCGGCUUCUUAAGUCUGGUGUGAAAUCUCCCGGCUCAACUGGGAGGGUGCGCCGGAUACUGAGGGGCUAGAGUACUGGAGAGAAGAGUGGAAUUCCACGUGUAGCGGUGAAAUGCGUAGAGAUGUGGAGGAACACCAGUGGCGAAGGCGACUCUUUGGCCAGAAACUGACGCUGAGGCGCGAAAGCGUGGGGAGCAAACAGG
rnacentral:rRNA from 1 species